rnacentral:rRNA from 1 species
GAUGAACGCUGGCGGCGUGCCUAAUACAUGCAAGUCGAGCGAACAGACGAGGAGCUUGCUCCUCUGACGUUAGCGGCGGACGGGUGAGUAACACGUGGAUAACCUACCUAUAAGACUGGGAUAACGUCGGGAAACCGGAGCUAAUACCGGAUAAUAUAUUGAACCGCAUGGUUCAAUAGUGAAAGACGGUUUUGCUGUCACUUAUAGAUGGAUCCGCGCCGCAUUAGCUAGUUGGUAAGGUAACGGCGUACCAAGGCGACGAUGCGUAGCCGACCUGAGAGGGUGAUCGGCCACACUGGAACUGAGACACGGUCCAGACUCCUACGGGAGGCAGCAGUAGGGAAUCUUCCGCAAUGGGCGAAAGCCUGACGGAGCAACGCCGCGUGAGUGACGAAGGUCUUCGGAUCGUAAAACUCUGUUAUUAGGGAAGAACAAAUGUGUAAGUAACUAUGCACGUCUUGACGGUACCUAAUCAGAAAGCCACGGCUAACUACGUG